rnacentral:tRNA from 1 species
CCAUCGGUGGUUCAGUGGUAGAAUGCUCGCCUGCCACACGGGCGGCCCGGGUUCGAUUCCCGGACGAUGCA